rnacentral:rRNA from 1 species
ACCUAGGAAACAGAUGCUAAUACCGGAUAACAACAGAUGAUGCCUAUCAACUGUUUAAAAGAUGGUUCUGCUAUCACUCUUGGAUGGACCUGCGGUGCAUUAGCUAGUUGGUAGGGUAACGGCCUACCAAGGCGAUGAUGCAUAGCCGAGUUGAGAGACUGAUCGGCCACAUUGGGACUGAGACACGGCCCAAACUCCUACGGGAGGCAGCAGCA